rnacentral:rRNA from 1 species
UGGGGAAUAUUGGACAAUGGGGGCAACCCUGAUCCAGCGAUGCCGCGUGUGUGAAGAAGGCCUGCGGGUUGUAAAGCACUUUAGUUGGGGAGGAAGGAGUGGAUGCGAAUAGCAUUUACUUUUGACGGUACCCAAAGAAUAAGCACCGGCUAACUCUGUGCCAGCAGCCGCGGUAAUACAGAGGGUGCGAGCGUUAAUCGGAAUUACUGGGCGUAAAGGGCGCGUAGGUGGGUGAAUAAGUCAGAUGUGAAAGCCCUGGGCUUAACCUAGGAAUGGCAUUUGAUACUAUUUGUCUAGAGUGGAGUAGAGGGUAGCGGAAUUCUCGGUGUAGCGGUGAAAUGCGUAGAUAUCGGGAAGAACACCAGUGGCGAAGGCGGCUACCUGGGCUCCAACUGACACUGAGGCGCGAAAGCGUGGGGAGCGAACAGGAUUAGAUACCCCCGUAGUCC